GAUGAACGCUGGCGGCGUGCUUAACACAUGCAAGUCGAACGGUGAAGCAGAGCUUGCUCUGUGGAUCAGUGGCGAACGGGUGAGUAACACGUGAGCAAUCUGCCCCGGACUCUGGGAUAACAGUUGGAAACAGCUGCUAAUACCGGAUAUGAGACGUGACCGCAUGGUCGACGUUUGGAAAGAAUUUCGGUUCGGGAUGAGCUCGCGGCCUAUCAGCUUGUUGGUGAGGUAAUGGCUCACCAAGGCGUCGACGGGUAGCCGGCCUGAGAGGGUGACCGGCCACACUGGGACUGAGACACGGCCCAGACUCCUACGGGAGGCAGCAGUGGGGAAUAUUGCACAAUGGGCGGAAGCCUGAUGCAGCAACGCCGCGUGAGGGAUGACGGCCUUCGGGUUGUAAACCUCUUUUAGCAGGGAAGAAGCGAAAGUGACGGUACCUGCAGAAAAAGCGCCGGCUAACUACGUGCCAGCAGCCGCGGUAAUACGUAGGGCGCAAGCGUUAUCCGGAAUUAUUGGGCGUAAAGAGCUCGUAGGCGGUUUGUCGCGUCUGCUGUGAAAACCCGAGGCUCAACCUCGGGCCUGCAGUGGGUACGGGCAGACUAGAGUGCGGUAGGGGAGAUUGGAACUCCUGGUGUAGCGGUGGAAUGCGCAGAUAUCAGGAAGAACACCGAUGGCGAAGGCAGAUCUCUGGGCCGUAACUGACGCUGAGGAGCGAAAGGGUGGGGAGCAAACAGGCUUAGAUACCCUGGUAGUCCACCCCGUAAACGUUGGGAACUAGCUGUGGGGUCCAUUCCACGGAUUCCGUGACGCAGCUAACGCAUUAAGUUCCCCGCCUGGGGAGUACGGCCGCAAGGCUAAAACUCAAAGGAAUUGACGGGGACCCGCACAAGCGGCGGAGCAUGCGGAUUAAUUCGAUGCAACGCGAAGAACCUUACCAAGGCUUGACAUAUACGAGAACGGGCCAGAAAUGGUCAACUCUUUGGACACUCGUAAACAGGUGGUGCAUGGUUGUCGUCAGCUCGUGUCGUGAGAUGUUGGGUUAAGUCCCGCAACGAGCGCAACCCUCGUUCUAUGUUGCCAGCACGUAAUGGUGGGAACUCAUGGGAUACUGCCGGGGUCAACUCGGAGGAAGGUGGGGAUGACGUCAAAUCAUCAUGCCCCUUAUGUCUUGGGCUUCACGCAUGCUACAAUGGCCGGUACAAAGGGCUGCAAUACCGUGAGGUGGAGCGAAUCCCAAAAAGCCGGUCCCAGUUCGGAUUGAGGUCUGCAACUCGACCUCAUGAAGUCGGAGUCGCUAGUAAUCGCAGAUCAGCAACGCUGCGGUGAAUACGUUCCCGGGUCU
rnacentral:rRNA from 1 species